rnacentral:rRNA from 1 species
AACGAACGCUGGCGGCGUGGAUUAGGCAUGCAAGUCGAACGAGAAUCUGAAGGUCCAAGUUUUCGGACAAGGACUUUUGGAGGACAGUGGCGGAAGGGUGAGUACAACAUGGAUAAUCUACCUUCAAGUUGGGUAUAACUCCUCGAAAGGGGAGAUAAUCCCGAAUGUGGUGAUCCGGCGCAUUGCCGGAGAAUCCAAAGGCGGGGACCGCAAGGCCUGUCGCUUGAAGAUGAGUCCGUGCACUAUCAGCUAGUUGGCGGGGUAACGGCCCACCAAGGCUAUGACGGUUAGCUGGUCUGAGAGGAUGGUCAGCCACACUGGGACUGAGAUACUGCCCAGACUCCUACGGGAGGCAGCAGUGGGGAAUUUUGCGCAAUGGGCGAAAGCCUGACGCAGGCGACGCCGCGUGGGUGACGAAGGCC